GUCUGCUGUGUGCUUGUGUGCCCUGUGCCUUUUUCUUUUUGAUUUUGACAUGCAUAGAUGAGUGUGCCAGGACGUGGACAUGAUUGGUGGACGAGGUUCGAGCCCUGGCCUGUGGUGGGCUGCAUCCGGGAACCAACCACUACAAAAGGAGCCAAGAUGGAGGCCGUCUGGGGGCAGCAGGAGGAACAUGGUGUCAACGUGAAACGCACUUUGGCGCUUCGUGCUCUUCCUGUCUACCUACGUGAGGAAGAUUCAGAGUUCUUCAAGACCUACAAUCAAGAAGAGGAUCCUGAUCUUAGCGAUACUUCUGUUGUCCUCCUCACAACUGGCGCGGACCCCUUUAACCCCUAACCCUUAAAUUUUCUACCAACCUGUUCAAUUUAAUGUUGUUAAAAAACACGACCCUUUGUCUUCAUGUCAUUGUUUAAAAUUUAAUAAAUAACCUAUUUUGUAUCA
ensembl:lncRNA